AGAAUAAUUAGAGCAUGUCUCCCAAAAGUGGGAACCGGUUUUGGGAUAAAGACAUGCGUAAAAACAAAAGCUUAAAGCGUGUCGUUUGAAUAUGAUAAAGCGCGACACGCUUUAGUCGGAAAAGGCGGCGCGUGCGGUUUCCAUCGGAGCGAGCGCGCCGCGUAUCUCAACGA
rnacentral:ncRNA from 1 species